AUUGAACGCUGGCGGCGUGCCUAACACAUGCAAGUCGAGCGGAGCGAGGGACGGACGGGUAAUGCCUAGGAAUCUGCCUGAUAGUGGGGGAUAGGGUCCGGAAACGGGCGCUGAUACCGCAUACUCUCAGAUGAGCCUAAGUCGGAUUAGCUAGUUGGUGGGGUAAAGGCCUACCAAGGCGACGAUCCGUAGCUGGUCUGAGAGGAUGAUCCGUCACACUGGAACUGAGACACGGUCCAGACUCCUACGGGAGGCAGCAGUGGGGAAUAUUGGACAAUGGGCGAAAGCCUGAUCCAGCCACGCCGCGGGGGUGAAGAAGGUCUUCGGAUCGUAAAGCACUUUAAGUUGGGAAGCGUUACCAACAGAAUAAGCACCGGCUAACUUCGUGCCAGCAGCCGCGGUAAUUC
rnacentral:rRNA from 1 species